UACGAAGGGGGCUAGCGUUGUUCGGAUUUACUGGGCGUAAAGCGCACGUAGGCGGAUCUUUAAGUCAGAGGUGAAAUCCCAAGGCUCAACCUUGGAACUGCCUUUGAUACUGGGGAUCUCGAGUCCGGGAGAGGUGAGUGGAACUGCGAGUGUAGAGGUGAAAUUCGUAGAUAUUCGCAAGAACACCAGUGGCGAAGGCGGCUCACUGGCCCGUUACUGACGCUGAGGCACGAAAGCGUGGGGAGCAAACAGG
rnacentral:rRNA from 1 species